GAGAGGUGAAUUGACCCUGGUGAGAACUUAUAAUCAAAACAGAACACUGGUAAUUCAUGUUGGUGAAGAUGUGGCUUUGAACGCACUGGUGAUUGUUGCAUUGACGUGUGGUUGUUAUUAAUCAUCCUCUUUUUCAGUGCAGUUGUAGUCAAUUUUAUUUGAAAUUAGCUUUUUUUUUUUUUUAGGAUCUGUGAGGGAGGACCCGAAUGCAGAUGAACAAUGACAGGGUUUAUUAACAAAACAGACAAGGAGUUCAAUGCGGGAUUCACAAAACGCUUUGCUGUUGAAAGAUGGAUCAGUAUCCUGGUUAUUUGGACAAGCUGCUACACUGAAUCACAACCUGGUUUUUACUGAUGAGCGCUGCUGGAGGCGCACUAAUGAUCUCGCCGGGUGUCUUCACAGCUCCAGGUUGAGACACAUUAAUGUAGAUGGGCGACUGUGGAUAUAUGCCGGCCCGGAAAUGUUUCUGUGAUUCAUAUGAGGAGCAAUCAUAGAUCAUUUCAGGUGUUCCGGAGCUGGCUGGCAAUCUGAUAAUGAACACAUGGAGGGGCGUCAGGACAGAAGGAUGCAAAUGAUGCCGGCAUCAGUAGGGGCUUUCACGCUCGGGAUUAAACAUGGCUUUUAACGCGUUCAUCAUAGAUGCAACAUAUUUGAAGACCCAACGAUAGCAAUAUGGCAUUCAAUGGGGAAUCGUUGAAUAUUGGCUACCAACCAAGAUUUAACAUUGUGGUGUUAGUUACACAGGGUUACGGAGUAGCACUUUAAAAUUACAGUAACAUUAUAGUAAUGGAUCACCAGGACCAGGAGCGGUUCACAUCCCACUCACUGGCCUCACAUGCAUUUUCUCUUUUCUCUUUUCUCAUGGCACACUUCAUAAAUCAAGAAAAGUGGUUCUCACACUUUUUCCAGGUGGCAUACAACUGCUAUCUAUGGACCACCUAACAACCCCAACUACCUAAAUGACAAAUUAUGUGCAAAUGCUUAGGUUAUACUCAUUAUUUUGAAAUGGCCUCACUAUUACCAAUCUGUAAUUUUGGAUAAUGACUAACUGACAGACAGAUAAAUAAGAUUGCUAAUUUUAGCUAUGAACCUAGAUGAGCAAAAUGUAUUUUAACACAAUUAUUGUU